rnacentral:rRNA from 1 species
CCUACGGGAGGCAGCAGUGAGGAAUAUUGGUCAAUGGACGAGAGUCUGAACCAGCCAAGUAGCGUGAAGGAUGACUGCCCUAUGGGUUGUAAACUUCUUUUAUAUGGGAAUAAAAUGUUCCACGUGUGGGAUUUUGUAUGUACCAUAUGAAUAAGGAUCGGCUAACUCCGUGCCAGCAGCCGCGGUAAUACGGAGGAUCCGAGCGUUAUCCGGAUUUAUUGGGUUUAAAGGGAGAGUAGGUGGAUUGUUAAGUCAGUUGUGAAAGUUUGCGGCUCAACCGUAAAAGUGCAGUUGAAACUGGCAGUCUUGAGUACAGUAGAGGUGGGCGGAAUUCGUGGUGUAGCGGUGAAAUGCUUAGAUAUCACGAAGAACUCCGAUUGCGAAGGCAGUUCACUGGACUGCAACUGACACUGAGGCUCGAAAGUGUGGGUAUCAAACAGGAUUAGAUACCCUUGUAGUC